rnacentral:snoRNA from 1 species
UCCCUCCAAUUCCUUAACCCUCAAACCUAAAUGAAUGAUGGUCGGAGUGGCUGGAAACGGAGGAAAAGUAAAGCUGAACUGGGCUCAGAGUCUUUAGUGACAAGGACGCUCAUGUCAAACAAAC